rnacentral:rRNA from 1 species
UAGAGAUAGCUGGUUAUUCAGGAAAAGGAUAUUAGUCCAACUUUAACUCUCCCCAUAAUACCAAAUACACCAAUAGAUUUAAAAUUUAUUCAAAUAAGGUUCAGCCUAUUUGAAACAGGAUACAACCUAUACUAUCAGGUAAUGUUUUAACCAACACGAUCAAGUAGGCCUCACAGCAGCCACCUUUAAAAAAGCGUUAAAGCUUCAUCCACCCCUACCCUAAUACCCAUCAAAACCCAAAACCUAUUACUAAUACUGAAUGAUUUUAUAUGUUAUAAAAACCCUUAUGUUAGAACUAGUAACAAGAAUAUCUAUUCUCCCAAAUGUAAGUGUAACUAAACCACUCACACUUAUCGACAAUGAAUAUAAAGUAGUAACUCCCACAAGAAAAACCUACUCUCUUAGCCGUUAACCUUACACUAGAACCUUUCCGGAAAGAUUAAAAAGAGGGGAAGGAACUCGGCAAACAUUAACCCCGCCUGUUUACCAA